AUCCAUUCUCUGUCCCAAGAAAAAAUGCUCUGCAAAAUGGAAGGGUUUUGCAAGCCCUCAUAUGAAAUUCUCAGUUAAAUUGCAUACCUUCCUAGGACUUUACAAGUACUUGGAGAAGAAAGGAAAGGAAAGAAAUUGAGAAGAUGCCAUGCAGGGAACAUUGAGCGUUAUCAGGUACAUCGAACUUAAUUUGAUUUUUUUUCUCAAAAACACUUUCAACUGGAAGGAUUAGCUAUUAGAGUUACCCUAUUUUCACAACCCUUUCUCAUAUGUGGAAAGUCCAGUAUUUCUCCCUCUUUAGUUGAUUUAAUUUUCCAGUUGGAUAUGCAGUUGAAUUAUAAUGUUGAAUACUAACAUAUGUAUAUGUAGAUAAACAUAAACUAUAAUUUGCUUAUAUGACACGGGAGACUUUCUUUGAACAUGAAGAAUUCUUUGUAAGAUAAGUUAUUUAUUUUUCAUAGAGUGCAAGUUUCGGUAUAUAAAUAGCAAACAAUCUCCAUUUUUAACACAUCUUAUUCAUUUAUCUGAAAGCUAUGGAAAAAUGCAGAUUUCAAUCAAUAGUUACCGCCUUGAGGGAAUUACAAAAUUGGCUCAGAGAUUUGUUCCUAUACCAUUUGCCCCUGAAGAAUUUUAUGAUCUGGAUGCUUAUAACCCUGCUGAAAGUAAGUUCAUUAUGAAACUUCAAGUUCAUCCAUAACGAAUGAGCCAAGAAGAUAGUCACGAAUUUGAUUUGCUUAUCAGGAACAGACAGAAGACAUACAAAGAUACAUAUUAAUUAGGCAUCAUUUCCAUGAUCACAUUCAUAUUUAUCGGCUCAGUUGACUCCUCAAAGUCAAAGUGAAAUUCUUGAAGAAAGCUUUCAAGGUCACAAGGAAUGAUUGGCGAAAAUUGCUUACCUGAGCCAGGUUAGAAGAUGAACACAAGAUUCUGGUGUGCGAAUUCAUGCCGAGGGGAAGUUUGGAAAAUCAUCUAUUCAGAAAGGAGUGCUUAUUUCCAACCGCUAUCAUAGAAUCUCCGAAUGAAGGUUACUCUCAAGGCAGCUAAAGGACUGACAUAUCUCCACAGCCCAGAAGCUAAAAUUAUGUAUCAGGAUUUCAAAUCAUCUAACAUUUUGCUGGCUGCUGUAUCUAAAACUACUUUAAAAUUUAGUCUUCUACAAGUUUUAACAAUAUUUCUGUUGCCCUCUUAUGAUUUGUCCAUACAAUUCAGUUGUGCUACUCCCGAGUAUAUGACCACUGGUAAUAUACAAUUUCAAUUUACUCCUAAUUGUUCUUGUGCUUUACCUGAGCUGAGCGUCAAUCGGAAGCCAAGUACAAAAGUAGUUAAAAGAUAGAGAUGGUGUAAUUAGGCGUAGCUUGGCUGGUCCAUUUCCAUCCGUUUCUCUGUUCAAGGAGUAUCAAAAUGCAGCGAUGGUAGUAAAUUGAUCAAUAUUCACUGUACUAUGUCAUAUUUCCAGCAUUAGAUAGUACGUUUAUCAAUAGUUUAGCCAAUUUUUAGAUAUAAGUGUAUCCAAAUUGCUUAAAAGUUGCACAGCUAGACUGUUUUGGCAUGAUAAAUGAUGUUGUUUGAUCUAAAAUUUAAUAUGAAUUUGGUAUAUUACCCGUUGUUAUGCGAGCUUAAUUUUUGGAUUCACAUGUAAAAAUUGACAGUCCAUAGUAGCCUCUUUCUCGAUGUAGUUGUCAGUUGUAACUUUGCUUUCUGUUCUUUGAGCUACUUUACUGCACUUGAAGAGAAAAUUCAGUAAAAAUGUGGCUUGUAUACUUAAAAGCCGGGGGAAUUCAAAACUGAAGUAAGACGAAUUCCUCAUUAAUGUGUUUUGAUGGAUUUUAUGGUCAACUUGGUGGCUAUGUUAUAUGAAUUUUGUUGCACAUCACUGAAAUUAGUUGCUGACUGUUUUGUGUGUACUUAAUGAAUUGUAUCCACAUUACAUGGACUCUCACUUUCAAUGCAGCAUCAGUGUUGAGUUAAUUUGACAGCGUGUCCAGUCUCCUCAACUUUUGUAAAUGUAACUCUUUAGGACACUCUGAUUAUCGACCUGUGGCUUCUUUGAUAUAUCUGUCUCUUUGUUAGGUAGAUUUUUUGUUUCUGCGUCGAAAAACUACAUGUUGUCCAUUCAUUUAGGUAGCUUAAAUGAUGUUUUAAUAGAAGACUACUGCAAAAAAUUCCUCCACCUUAAAGCAUAUUCGUCAGGUAAAUACAGAGGGUUAACACAAGCUGCUCAAUUAGUUCUAAUGGUAAAUGUUGUUUUAUUACAUCCUCAAAUAGAGGCCUCACAUUCGAACUUGGGAAACAUUUAGUCAAUAAGUGCACUAAAAUGAAUAUAGUGUGAAUAGACUUCCUUCAUCAAUUAGCCUCGCUAAAUUUGUUAAAUUAUCACACAAAUUUUCUUAAGUUCUUGAUGAGGUCUCUCUUAAGAGUUAUCUCCUCUGUUUAAUCCUUCAGUCUUUCAUGCUCGCAAAUAUCAAUACUAUGUGUCCUGAAAGAAAUUGGGAGUGUAACAUUACUUGGUUUGUUCUGUCAUGUAACCUGAGAUCAUUUCUUUUCUCAGCUUCUAAUUGUCGCCUCUCAUAUGUAAAUCAUAUAACCACCAGAAGUGACGUAUACAGUUUUGGAGUUGAAGAAAAACUGCCCCCACGGAGAACAUAAUCUAAUCCAAUAGGCUUAAGCCUUUACAAAUUACCUCUAUUUUAUAGUUUACUGACAAAUUAAAGUUCAUCUCAAGAGUUGUACAUGUUCAUGAAUAAAAGUAAUAAACUUAAUUUUAUUUCUUUAACAUGUGAUGCACUCACUGUAUUACUUCAGAAAUAAUGAAUAGUUGGUGCAGUUAUACAAUAUCUCUUUACUUACCGUUUGUCUACUAUAGAUUCGAAGACCACAGGGUGAGAUUGUAUUCAUUUUGUCCCUAUAUAAGAUGACAUAGUUAUGUCGAUUAUUGUCUCCUAACUCCUUGGAGAAGAGAUUUUCCAUUUUGUAUAGGAUAGUCAAGGGAUGGGAUGGGGGCCGUUGUAAUCCAGCAAAACUCAAUGGGAUGGAUGGGUGAGGAUUUAAGGGUAGCUGGUGUAGGAUAGUCCAGGGAUGGGACGGGGGUUGGAUGCAAUGGCGAAUUUGGAAUUUUCACUAAGGUUGUUCAGUAAUUUCUU